CCUCAAUGUCUUGUAGUGAGGGGCCCAAAUCUGAACACGGCAUUCAAGGUGCAGCCUCACCAAUGCCAAGCACAGAGGGGUGAUCACCUCCUCCUGCUAGCUGUGCUAUUUCUGAUACAAGCCAGGAUGCUGUUGGCCUUCUUUGCUGCCUGAGCACACUGCUGGCUCAUGUGCAGCUGGCUGUCCUUUAGCACACCCAGAUCCUUUUCCUUGUGCAGCUUUUCAGUCACUGUGCCCCACGUAGUGUUGCAUGGAGUUCCUGUAACCAACGUGCAGGACCCACACUUGGUCUUAUUAAAGCAUGUGGUUGGCCUCAGGCUGUUAAUCCAACCUGCCCAGAUCCAGGGCCUUCUUACCUUCAUGCAGAUCAACAGUUCCUCCUGACUUGUUGUCUUCUGCAAACUUACUGAGGGUGCACUCAAUCCCCUUUUUCAGAUCAUCAGUAAGAUGAGAUUUUAAACAGUACUGGCCUCAGUAUUCAUACCUGAGGAACAACAUUCAUGACCAGUCACCAGAUGAGUGUAACUCUGUUCAUCAAUACUUCCUUCAUUUUCUGCCCACCCUCCAGAGGCAGCAGUGCCUGAGAGACUUUGCCUAGUUGGCACAAAGUUCUGGCUGAGGGUUCCUGGCUUGGCUUAGCCAGAUGGAUGCAUGCCACGGGGACUCUUCUCCUCUAGACCUUUUCCUCCUGCAUUAGAAUCUGCUCUUUCCUACAUCAUCAGCUCCCACACCUUCCUGCCUUCAUCCUUGAAGCUGCCUCUCCCCACGCUGGUGUGAGCUGGCAGGGUGAGGUGUGAGGGAAAGCAGGUUCCUUUCCUUACCCACUAAGCAUGCAGGCCAGCCUGGCUGUGCAGGCAGCGGAAAGGCAGCCACUCACCUUCAGUCAUGCGAGGCAGCCCUCAGCUCUGCCCAUGCUCGGAGCUGUGAGCAGGGCAUUGAACUCAGCAUGGUGGAAUUUAAGCUGUGAGUUUUCAAAGCCAAUUACUGGACACAGGCUGGGUCUGAUGAGCUUGGGUUUCAUUAGCUGUCUCCUGAGAGUGCCGAGCUACACCACUCACCUUUGCGGAGAUCAGAUUCUCUUCUGUGAUGCUAUUAGAUGUUUUCAAAAAUAGCUUCAUCAAUCUGUUUUAAAAGAACUUGUCUGCUUUGAUAAAAGUGCCUGCUGGUGCUUUGCCAGAUAUGGGCUUGUCACUUUUCCUCCUGUCACACAUGCAACUUCUGUCCUAUAUAAAGAACAGCAUAAAAGAGACUGCAAAAUGACCACCAGCCUAAUGUAAAGAUUUACUUUGUGUCUGCGCAUAUAAUCUAAUUAUUUCAUUGUACACUGGGAAGCAACCAGACAAAUAAUACAAAACAAUUUCAAUCUUUCUGAGGACCUGGAAAGCAGAUGCGUGUUUGUGCAUACCAGUAGUAUCAGGAGGGAACUGCAGUUGCAUGGCAUACUUAGUAACUCCAUUUAUAUUGGUAUAUGCAACAGCAAUAUUCUAAUUUACUCAUUUCUUUGAUACUUUCUGAGCAGAUGGUAUUUUUGAAAAGGUCUAUUAAUUCUGUGAGAAUUUGAUAAUGGCUAAUUGCUGGGGGAUCAGAAGUGAGCGGCAGUCAAAGCGAGCUCCUGACUUCUCCUUGCUCCGCAGCCUCAUUUGUAAGCUGCUCUCCUUGCAGCAAUCCUUGCUCAAGAGUAUUCACCAGUGUCCUCAGCGUGAAUUGGGGACCUGUUGAUAGCUCUUGAUUAAUUGAACUGUGCUCCAUGAACAAAUCACAUGCUAUCACAGGGAAGGUCACAUCCUGUAGGACCAAGUACACUGGGAAUUUUCAUCAGAGAGCCCUUUACUCUUUGCCUCUUUAUCGCUUGCUUCUCAUUCCUUUCCUUUUUUCAUUUUCCUUUCUGUUUCUCUCUCUGUCACCUUGCCUUUCACUUAGGUUUGUUCAUGUUCUUUGAGCGCCUACCUGAGUGUUUGUAGCAGGGGUCACAAGUGCUCUGACAUCAAAGGAUGGCGUUUCAGAAUUACAACUUUUCCUUUGAACAAGGAGGAAAAAAGGUUCCUGGUUACUAUGGUGAUGAGCGCUAUAGAAGUGCCUAUAAAUAAAUAACGUAAACAGCUGAUUGUUGGACUUUGGUUUGCAGUAUUUUCGCUUUGCUAAUCAGAUAAUUAAAUAUCAAAAUAGAAGGAGGUGAUAUUUCACCAGUUUUAUUACACAGAUACUGUUUUUAUGCCUUCACCUUUACAGCGCUCCUGCUGAAAACACUUAAAUGGCAUGUUGUUUUGUUCUACCUCUAGAAAUUUGAUGUUUUGAAAAAUCUUAGUCCAGUAUUUAUGGAAAAAAAGGUGGUAUCCAUUUUACAUUUAAUCAGAUCAUACACUUUGGGCCAAAUGCCUGUUCAUAUCUCUAAGAACUAUUAUAUGUUAUCACAACACUUAUAUUCCAUUUUGGAGAGUCAGAAAAUGUAAUUAUGUUCCUCUGCAGUAUUUGAAACCCCACCAGUAUACAACAGCAAAACUUAAAAAGUUUAUAAUGGAAAUAAAUUCUUUAUGGGAAAGAAAAUGGUUGUUUCAAAUACACAAAAAUAGGUACUUGACUAAAUGCCUUUUACUUCAGAGCUUGUAUAACUGUGAGGACAGGGAUGCUUCAUAUUUUUUUUUCCCAUUUAAACACAGUUGCUUUUCGAAGAGCAAAGUACAUACUUGCAGUGUGUAAUGAAGGCAGAGGAAGAGCUGGAGCAAACCAAGGCAAGGCAAGUCCUGGGCAGUAACAGGCAUGAUAAAGUAGGAGGCAUUACUUUUGCUGCAGCCCUUGUACAAGAGCAACAUGGAGUUGGGUAGGAUGGGGAAUGGGAGUGGGUUAAAAGUCUGCAGUUACUUGCAAGCUGAAGUUAAAAAUGGUUGACAGCUUGGGUUUGGUGUAACUAGAGACCAUGCAGAUGCUGGAGCAGGGCCUGGCUCCCAAAACAUUAAGAGUUUUCUCAGUUGGAAAUCACCGUCAUUACUAGUAUGUACUGCUUUUAACAGUGACAUAUUCAUUUAGACGCCUCCUCUUAGGGUAGGAGGACGAAGCAUGCAUAUUGCUAUUAAUGACAGGACAAGCUGGUGAGGACAAGAGGUGGAGCUGUUGCUUGUCUCAUUGCCUGGAACGGAUAGGAUAAAAGGGGAAACAGUGCAUAUACCAAAUCUAUUUUUUUCUUCUGGUUGAGUGGUUUGGUUUCUAUUCUGUAUGUGUCUGCUUUUUUCCUUCAUAGGUGUUUUCUUCUUUUUCUUUUUUUUUUUUGGUCUUAUUUUCUUUUAAUCGUUGGAUAUGAUUCAAAACCAUCUGUUGAAAUUUGCCGAUGUCACAUCUGGGUAUUCUGAUGUAUUGCCUAUCAAGUUACAUUGUGUGUUCAGAUGAGUUUCUCGUAUGAUGUGUUGACAGCUGCUGACAGUCCUGAGAUGGGAAGCUGGAAGCCUGGGAGAAAAAAGAGAGAGGAGCAGAGUUAGCCUUUAAAAGGUUUCAGGUGGAGGCAGGUGCCAAGUGGAGCUGCAGUGUGAUUGACGUUGCGCGGUGCUUCAUCUUUAUUUCAUGCGACGAGGAGGUGGGAGGGUGGAGAUUGCUUGAAGUGCCUGGCUAGAGACAGAACGUAAUUUAUCACUGUUCAUUUGUCUGGAGGGUUACACGGCCCAUAUAUAAUUUAGAAAAAUGUUUAAAAAAUAAGAAUCUGUUGUCAUUAAAAUCACUUGGUGCUCAAGUCUGUUGGCUUAAUCUAAUUUCUGUGAUACAUAAAUGCACUGCUGUGCAUUUCAUUUUUAUUCUGGGUGUACGGUAUAAACAAUAUGCUUAAAAGGAACCAAGAAAGUGUGUAUAAAUAGCACUGAUAAAACCAAGCCUUUCACAAUCUCAAAGUAGUGUGAAUUUUCCAUAUUUAGGCUGAAAGAUGUGGAAUUGCACCUGGAUUUAACCUUGUCAGUUUUCCUGAAAUCAUGUUUAGUAUGAAUGUUCUUGUCACGUGGUCUGCAAGUGGACUUUUUCUGACUCAAGCCUGCUGCUGAUGCUCUACAGCUGAAUUAUCAGAGAGCAGAAAGGGACACCUCUGUCUGUUGCCUUGCUAUGGGGAAAUCAUUUUUUGUGUGAACUGAUGUAGAUGAGACCCUAGUGGUCUGGUGUUUGCUAUCCUAUGUCUGUGCACUUCCUUUUCUUGCUUUGAUGCUCUGCUCAUGCCUGCUCUGCCAUGUCUGGGGUAGGUUGGCAUGGUGUGGUUUGGCAUGAGGGGCCAGAAAUGUUAUCAUAGAAUCAUAGACUAUCCCAAGCUGGAAGGGGCCCAUAAGGUUCACCGAGUCCAACACAUGAAGAAGAGACUGGAGAUGUUAUGAGACAGUGCAUAGCAUAUGUAGAGAGUUUCCAUUAUUUACAGACAAGCCCCUUCCCCUCUUGCCUAGUGUAAAUAAGAUCAGUAGACAAAAGUUCCAUAUGUUCAUAUAUUGGCAGUUCUCUACUGGCUUAAGAAAUCCAAUUCUCCAGAAGGUUUCCAGAGGAGGAAUUUCUUUUCUGUGCAAUGACCUGAGUGAGUCUAGAUCUUUUCUUCAUCUUGUCCCUACUCCGGUUGUCCUCUGGCUGCUUUGCUUUCUCUUCUCCAUUUUUAGUUCAUUUCCAUAACACAUUUCUUGCUCUUUUCUGUUCCAUGGCAUAUUUUCUUCCCGAGGAAGCAGCGUAUUCUGUGUGCUGGAUGCUGUCUGCAUGCUCCUGUUGGUGUGAAGCCUUCUGUCCCCUUGAGCUUCUGAUGGGGAGGGGCACAUCAUUUGUGUGUGCAGAUGGAAAUAUUUUAUUGUUGAUUUCUUUUUUUGGUGCUAAAUUAGAUAUCAUCUCUCACGUGUCCUUGAGCCUUCUGCAGAGAUCCAAGGACUGACUGCUUCUGAUGCACUGAUUUUAUAGCAUCAUUUAUUUUCUCUGAAUUACUUCUGCCUAGUCCUGUAACACUGCAGCUGGCACUGCAAUUCUCAUAUCCAUCUUCUGUAUGAUAAGUGAUAUUCUUUACUUUAUGCAGUACAAUGAGGUCUUAGGGUCAUCACUGGAAAUUCCUUAGUGCUUUACUGAUUGAUGUAGAUGAAAAAGAUAAUCUCCCACUCUGGUAUUUUUUUCUUUGGCGCUGUCUUUGAAGGUUGCAUAUUCUUCUGCUGUACUUCCUUUAUGAAAGUGACUUCUUUUUGCUCUCUCUUACCAUCUUGUCAAUUUCCUUUUUUUCUUCCCUUUGUUUCAAUUGAAUGUUUUCUAUAUUGUUUGUUUAGUUUUAUUUCUUUUUGUGAGAGAAAUACUCCUGAGUUUAAGUAUAACGGUCUAUGUGGGCUUAACUUGAGAGUUUUCUUAGAAAUGCAAUAUAAAUGAAGAGUUCGGCUGUUUGUCCCUUUAGCUCUUCAAGCUUUCUCCUUCAGCAGCGAAGCAUUUUACCAUCCAGCCUGCAGCGUUCAUUGCCAUUUGACUGUCUCACACAACAAAGUUUGCUUUGUCAUACCUAUGACAAUCUUUGCUGCACAAUUUUUAUGUCUGGACCUACUGACAUUUCUCUUUUUCAUCAUAAAAUAUUAUGACUUCUCCCUUCAGAACCCUCCAUGCAAGUGUUUUCCUCUUCCCCACCAUUUGACUAUAAAAUUAAAAUGGGUUUAAAUAAUCAUCAACAGCCAGGCUCCUCUACACCACUGGAUUCAGGAGCCCCUUCUUCAGCUGCUGGACGCUCUGAAGACUGUUUAUAUAUGGGUUAAAAGAGGCAACAGGGGAGUUUUGAUGUGGGGUUGCUUGCUUCAUUUUUGGAGGCAGGGUUUAAGAACAAGGGGAAUAAAAAGUUGUUUGGUAACAGAAGUGGUCUUGUAUUUCUGAAAAAAAUUGGAUUUGAUGUCAUCCAGAGUUCAGUUGAGAAAAUGUAGCCCUCAGUAAAUAUGGUUUUGUUUUUCAGUAGCAAAGAUUUAUUUGUAUGUGGUAUUAAUGUAUUUUCUACCUUAUUACUGGAGCACAGCAGCAGUGAAGGCCUGAUGUUUCUGGCUCACCUUCGUAAUUUGAUUGCAAUGAUUGCAAUUUCUGCUUUUGAGAGACAGUGGGCAUAAGGCAAUUUUGGUAUUGAACAGUUGUCAUGUAAACAGCAUGUUACCUUUAUUUGUCAGUUUGGUUUUUGCUCAAGGAGCAAAGAGGAGCUGAAUGAGAUUUGGGUCCUCGACUGGAGGUUCUUGUUGUGUAAACUUGGCAUAGUCUACUUCUAUCCCAGGGACCCAUCUUUUUCUUCACUGCAGAGGUAUGUAGAUGCUAAAACUGUGCUUGCACAAAGCGAAGGAAUUGUAAUUGAAUAAUUGUAAUUGAGUUUCCUAAUUGCACUCAGUGUAACUUUUGUAUGAAGUGGAUGGCCUUGCAUGCAGGAAGACCUUUCUCAUUCAUCCAGUUAUUCACAGUUGAUAUAGGCUGGUUUGUUUAGCAGUAUAUAACUUUAAGGACCAAUAUAUUAUUUUAGCGAAAGGAACCAGUGAGUUCUAAUUCUAAAACCUUCCAUUUAAACUUUGCUUCAUUUGUUUUCUCUUAAUUCUGCUUCACAAGAAGCACUGGAGUCAUAUUGGACUACUUACCUUUGCAUUUCACCAGGGGCAAGGAUUUCCCUCAGAUUGUCACAUAUAUUGUUUGGGAAGUUGCUCAUUAUGGCCUACCAAGCAAUGGAGAUUUACCAAGUUGGGGAAAAACAGCUAAGGGGCAGGCAAAAGUCUCAGUGAUAAAGCUGAUGAUGGAAAAAUGAGGAUGAGGAA